AGGUUCUGACCGGCAGGCAGCAGCAGAUCCAAGAAAAGAUUGAACAGAACCGGCGAGCACAAGAGGAGACCCUAAAAUACAGGGAAGAACUCAUCAAGAGUCUCGAGGAGGGGAAGCAGUUAGCUCUGCGGGCAAAGGAAGAGAGUGAAGAGCUGAAGUCAGCCAGGAAGCAGGAGCUGGAAGCCCAGGUUGCGGAGCGCCAGUUCCAGGAGUGGGAAGCAGCCCGGCAGGAGGAGGAGGAAGAGAAGGAGGCCAAGAAGGCAGAACAGCUCUCCAACGCUCGGCUGCAGCAGGAGGCGAGGACCAUGGUGAAGAGGGGCUACAGGCCCAAGAUUCAUGGACACCUCAGGAUUGCCUGGGACUGAUGUUGAACACAGAGAAGCAAGCCGACGUGACAGAGCUCGCGGCAGUUGUACAGUGUUGGUUCUGGCCAAGGCUCAGGGUGCUGCUGACCACUUGAGCCAUGCCUGUGAGGCGCAUCAUGGUCCAUAGAUGUCAGGAUGCCAUGGGUGUGCGGCCCUGCUGAGAGCCCUUCCCUGCCAUCCUCACCCAGACAGGCCUUACAGACUCAUGUCUACAGUGCCACCCGAGGUCACACACUGCUUUAUAAGUAGAUUUUAGAGCUAUUCGAAGAAGUCAUAUUCCAUGACAGGAUAGUAGGUUCUCUUGUCUCCCCUGUAGUUGUCUGCUCUAGGGAGGACCAGGCAGAGGGAGGAGACAGCCUUUUAGGUUUUACAGUUGCCGUUAGAAGUUAAUCUAUUGGAGGCAGACUCAUAGGUCUUGGUGUAGUGAGUUUCAGUUGUGAGCUGUGUAGCCCCAAGGAUCACAUGGUGUGUAUUUCCGAAGAGUGGCAGUCUGGAAAGACAGUGACAAAGGAGCCCUUGUUUGGAAGUGUUGUGAGAGCUACCCAUAGGAGCUGGGGGUGCUUAGUGUGGGGUACUUGACCUUUCACCUAUGGUCCUCACCUCAGCUCUACACCAUCAAGAAGCAGAGUCCUAUAGAGAGCACUUGAGCCCAACACGUGCCACCUCUCGAGUCCUCAGGGUCACUUGGUUGGCUGGCCCAAUAGAAACAGGGUUGACAGUGACCUUUCGAGUGUGGAGAAGGCCUAUCUAUGUGCAGCCCCAUGGGAGUUAGGUGCCCAGAGGAACACUGGCGAAAUGGCAGGAGACUCAGAAUCACAGAUGAGCGUGUCCCCACUGUUAGAUCCCAAUUCACCUCUGCAAGUGGCUCUGGGUCCUGGUCGCGAGAGUUGGAUUGUUAUGACUUGUAUCUCUCUGUAGCCUUCAUUUCGUCCCUGUAUUCAAGAUUCUGCCAACUUUGCUGACUAUAGGGUGUUUGCUCUGGUCAUGGGAACCCAGAGUUAGACGAGCCUGGGUUUGAGGGCUGCAUUGCUUCUCAGUCUGUUUCAUUUCCUGCCUUGGUUCUCGGAUGCGGCCCCAGCACUGUUUACCUCACACACUUUUGAGCACUCGCCCUUUUCAAAUGCACACUGACUGUGAAGUAAAGCUCUGUUUCACCUCAG
rnacentral:lncRNA from 1 species